GGGCAUCAUCUGCCUUACUUAAAUAACAGUGUGAUACAAUGAUUAUGUUUCGAAUUGUAUAUGCUACAUUUAAAGCUCAAUGUACAUUCGGCUGACGUUAACAGUUCGACAAGUGCAGCUGUCAUUUUUCAUGUAAAUAAUAACGUGCAUAGAAUUUAGACACACUAAAUGUAAAUUACUUUAAGCCCAUGUGAUAACGAAAUAAAUUACUGAAUGCUCAUCAGUGGAAAUAUGCCACAAUACAUGGGUGUGCAUCUAUUGCGUGGGAGAAAAAAAAAAAGUCACAAAACAUAAAAAUGGCUCAAAUUACAGCAGUGCUCUUUCUGUAUGUAAGGUCAACUAAGUCUUAACCAGAGCUCAUGAUUAAAAAAAAAACAACAACAACACACUGUCAUACAUAAUAUCUUUUAAUUUAAAACUUGUACAUUUCCAUACAGAUUCAGGCCAUCCAAUUUGGCAUGUUUAUGAUGACAAAUCCAAAGAAAAAGGGACAGAUACAGAUUAUUUUAAGGGGUUGGUUCUUCAUGGAUAAAUACCACCACCCGUAAUUUAUUCAAGACAUUAUGCUAAAAGGGUAUCCAAGAUGGAUAACCAGAUUUUCCAAAACGCAUAACACUGGAAAAGAAGCCAAUGAGAACGCAACCAACAGCUUCAUGAAGUAAUGAGCCCUUGGCAUAUAAAAUGGGUGUUUGUCCUCCAAAAUGUCAAGACGUGUAGAGUUCAGUCCUUCAGCGCCAUAACUGACGUGCAAAAAUCAACAGCAGGUCACUUCUCUUCACGAGAUACUGAGUGUUCAAUGCGGAUCUGUCAUGCAUUCUUAGAAACCACGGCUCAAUAUGCAUAGUACUUGUCCAUUAAGGGAGUUCAGCAGACAUUGUGGAAUAAAAAGUGCUUUUUUUUCCACCCCAAAAAGGGUUAAAUUAAGAUCUCUGACGAGUCAGGAUAGUUGCUGGCAGUCAGUGAGCUCUCACAAUACAGUUCCUAACAGAGUGUUUCAACCUGCAAAGAACAAUAUUGUUUAAAUGCUUUAAAAACACAAUCCCUUCAAAGACGUUCACUCAUUUAGAACAAAAAAGGACAUUUCACUCCAUCCCAAAUGCAAGGUCAAGUAAUUCACAGGAGUCAUGUUGCACUGAUUCAACCCAAUAUUGCGCGCACAUGCACGCACGCACACACACACACAC
ensembl:lncRNA